rnacentral:rRNA from 1 species
GACAGAGGGUGCAAACGUUGUUCGGAAUCACUGGGCGUAAAGCGCACGUAGGCGGAUCUUUAAGUCAGGGGUGAAAUCCUGGAGCUCAACUCCAGAACUGCCUUUGAUACUGGGGAUCUCGAGUCCGGAAGAGGUGAGUGGAACUCCGAGUGUAGAGGUGAAAUUCGUAGAUAUUCGGAAGAACACCAGUGGCGAAGGCGGCUCACUGGUCCGGUACUGACGCUGAGGUGCGAAAGCGUGGGGAGCAAACAGG